ACAUACGGGGCUUUAUGUCUUGUAUUGGAAUGAUGGGAAUUUAAACCUCUUCCAGAGUAUCAAUUGGAGGGCAAGUCUGGUGCCAGCAGCCGCGGUAAUUCCAGCUCCAAUAGCGUAUAUUAAAAUUGUUGCAGUUAAAAAGCUCGUAGUUGAAUUUCUGCUGCAUUGCAUUUUCUCCUAUACGAGUUUUUGCAUUGUGGCUUAUUUCGGUUAUAAAAUUUAUUUUUAUUUCCGGAUGUUUACUUUGAGAAAAUUAGAGUGCUCAAAGCAGGCUUUUGCCUUGAAUAGUUUAGCAUGGAAUAAUAAAGUAGGACUUUGGUUCUAUUUUGUUGGUUUUAGGUACCAAAGUAAUGGUUAAUAGGAACAGUUGGGGGCAUU
rnacentral:rRNA from 1 species